rnacentral:rRNA from 1 species
UACGUAGGGUCCAAGCGUUAAUCGGAAUUACUGGGCGUAAAGCGUGCGCAGGCGGUUCGUUAAGUCAGCUGUGAAAGCCCCGGGCUCAACCUGGGAAUUGCGGUUGAAACUGGCGAACUAGAAUCUGGCAGAGGGGGGUGGAAUUCCACGUGUAGCAGUGAAAUGCGUAGAGAUGUGGAGGAACACCGAUGGCGAAGGCAGCCCCCUGGGCUGAGAUUGACGCUCAGGCACGAAAGCGUGGGGAGCAAAC